CUGAGGCCCGGUCAUGAAUUAUGUGUGUGGCCUCAUAGUUAGGGUUGAGUCCCGGGGGUUUGUUAAGUCGCGCCGCCGUAAGAUCAGUUCAGAAGCUCCGCGUCUCAUGCUCUUCUGCGUCCACCCUAUAUGAUGCCCUCCGCCAUGGCUCACCCCUGCCGUGGCCUUUUCUCUGUAUCUUCCCUCUUCUAUAUCCGGCCACGCCCCUGCUCCUCCUCUCCCCUUAAAUCCCUUUUCUUGCACCCCUUCCGACCCCUGCGGUUGACUUGCAGUAGGAUCAGUUCAGAAACCAUUCGCUCACAAAGAGCAGGAGGGUUACAUCUUGGAGAAGCAAAGCCGGUUCAUCCCGGUCAAGGCUUAUGAUGACGGUGAUUUCUGCGUUUUUAUACGAUACAUCUUGGAGAGCUGUAGGAGCCUGCAGACUCAGAACACGUCCAAUGAUGACCCCUUGCAUCUCUGAUAUUAUAAUGUCAAAUAACGAUGCUGAAGUUAUGAAGAGUGGUUUUGCAAGUGAGUUUUUGUCAUUUUAGUGUGUGUGAUAAUUAUCUUAUACUAUAUCUAAUUGAUAUAGUAGUUUAAAACAAGAUUUUAACUAAAAAUAGUUUUUGUCAUAAGGAUGCAAUCCAAGUUAAAAUUCUUUAAUGCUAUACACUGACUUUGGUUUUCCAUGCAAUUUCGUUGAGAUGAUUUUUUGAUUAUCAUAAAAUCUAAAGUGUCAAAAAUUCAAACUGCAAUUAGAGAAGUCAAACACAAUCAUUAAUAUUUUACAAGUUCAAUAAUAAAUCAAUAUAAAAUAAAAUAUUUUUAUUUAAUCAUCAAGUAAUGAACUUUUGAUUGUAAAAAUAUUUCAUUUUUAUAUUGAUUUAUUAUUGAACUUGUAAAAUAUAAAUGAUUGUGUUUAACUUCUCUAAUUGCAGUUUAAAUUUUUGACAUUUUAGAUUUUAUGAUAAUCAAAAAAUCAUCUUAACGAAAUUGCAUGGAAAGCCAAAGUCAGUGUAUAACAUUAAAGAAUUUUAACUUGAAUUGCACCCUUAUGAUAGAAACUAUUCUUAGUCAAAUUUUUAUUUUAGACUACUACAUCAAUUAGAUAUAGUGUAAAAUAAAUAUCAUACAUACUGAAAUGUAUCGGUCUUCAGAUUUUAUUGAAAUUUUACUAUUGAAGGAAUGGUUACAUAGAUAUUUGAAUGCCCCUGCUGCUGAUACGCGAGGAAAGCCACUCUAAUAUGGUCAUUAUCGAAAGGC